rnacentral:rRNA from 1 species
CUUGGCUCAGAUUGAACGCUGGCGGCAUGCUUUACACAUGCAAGUCGAACGGCAGCACGAAAGAGCUUGCUCUUUUGGUGGCGAGUGGCGAACGGGUGAGUAAUACAUUGGAACGUACCGAGUAAUGGGGGAUAACUGUCCGAAAGGAUGGCUAAUACCGCAUACGCUCUGAGGAGGAAAGCGGGGGACCUUCGGGCCUCGCGUUAUUCGAGCGGCCAAUGUCUGAUUAGCUAGUUGGUGGGGUAAAGGCCUACCAAGGCGACGAUCAGUAGUGGGUCUGAGAGGAUGAUCCGCCACACUGGGACUGAGACACGGCCCAGACUCCUACGGGAGGCAGCAGUGGGGAAUUUUGGACAAUGGGCGAAAGCCUGAUCCAGCCAUGCCGCGUGUCUGAAGAAGGCCUUCGGGUUGUAAAGGACUUUUGUCAGGGAAGAAAGGGUUUGGGUUAAUACCCUGAGCUUAUGAC